UGCGGCUGGAAGAACAUGGCAAAGUGGUGCUGGUGCUGGAGAGAGCCUCUCAGGGCGCCGGCCCUUCCCGACCCCCAACCCCAGGCAGGAACCGGUAAUACACCUGCCAUGCUCCCUCUCCACACUGUCCCUCCUUUCAUUUCCCAAUCUUUGCUCCCUUCCCCUGUGUCAUAUCCCUGCCCUCUGGCCACUUGUGGAUGGAGAGGUAUUGAGGGACCAGGAUGUGCCUGCUGAGCCAGUCUCCUCCCUGCCCUAAGGUGGGACAGGGCUGGCUAAUCGAGAAACAUGAUGUAAUUGAUUAUUGAUGUCUGCCCAGGUGUGGAAGUGGGGAGUAGUGGCACCAGUGCCAAAGAUUGGCCAUUUCUGCUAGGUAUACAGUGAUGUCUGGCACCCCAGAGAAGAUCCUAGAGCUUCUGUUGGAGGCCAUGGGACCAGAUUCCAGUGCUCAUGACCCAACAGGUGGGUGGCCCUGCUUGGAUGUUGUGGUUCCCUUGACUGGUGCCCACCUUCCAUGUGGAGCCUGCGGGUGGCAGCGAGCAGGAGCGCAGCACCUACGUCUGCAACAAGAGGCAGCAGAUCUUGCGGCUGGUCAGCCAGUGGGUGGCCCUGUAUGGCUCCAUGCUCCACACUGACCCUGUGGCCACCAGCUUCCUCCAGAAACUCUCAGACCUGGUGGGCAGGGACACCCGACUCAGCAACCUGCUAAGGGAGCAGUGGCCAGAGAGGCGGCGAUGCCACAGGUUGGAGAAUGGCUGUGGGAAUGCAUCUCCUCAGAUGAAGGUG
rnacentral:sRNA from 1 species